GAUGAACGCUGGCGGCGUGCCUAAUACAUGCAAGUCGAGCGAACAGAUAAGGAGCUUGCUCCUUUGACGUUAGCGGCGGACGGGUGAGUAACACGUGGGUAACCUACCUAUAAGACUGGAAUAACUCCGGGAAACCGGGGCUAAUGCCGGAUAAUAUUUAGAACCGCAUGGUUCUAAAGUGAAAGAUGGUUUUGCUAUCACUUAUAGAUGGACCCGCGCCGUAUUAGCUAGUUGGUGGGGUAAUGGCUUACCAAGGCAACGAUACGUAGCCGACCUGAGAGGGUGAUCGGCCACACUGGAACUGAGACACGGUCCAGACUCCUACGGGAGGCAGCAGUAGGGAAUCUUCCGCAAUGGGCGAAAGCCUGACGGAGCAACGCCGCGUGAGUGAUGAAGGUCUUCGGAUCGUAAAACUCUGUUAUUAGGGAAGAACAAAUGUGUAAGUAACUGUGCACGUCUUGACGGUACCUAAUCAGAAAGCCACGGCUAACUACGUGCCAGCAGC
rnacentral:rRNA from 1 species